AACGAACGCUGGCGGCAUGCCUAACACAUGCAAGUCGAACGAGACCUUCGGGUCUAGUGGCGCACGGGUGCGUAACGCGUGGGAACCUGCCCUUAGGUUCGGAAUAACUCCCCGAAAGGGGUGCUAAUACCGGAUAAUGUCUUCGGACCAAAGAUUUAUCGCCUUUGGAUGGGCCCGCGUUGGAUUAGCUAGUUGGUAGGGUAAAAGCCUACCAAGGCGACGAUCCAUAGCUGGUCUGAGAGGAUGAUCAGCCACACUGGGACUGAGACACGGCCCAGACUCCUACGGGAGGCAGCAGUGAGGAAUAUUGGACAAUGGGCGAAGGCCUGAUCCAGCAAUGCCGCGUGAGUGAUGAAGGCCUUAGGGUUGUAAAGCUCUUUUACCCGGGAUGAUAAUGACAGUACCGGAAGAAUAAGCUCCGGCUAACUCCGU
rnacentral:rRNA from 1 species